AUUUAUUGCUAUAAGGUUUUAUUUUAUGUAUAAAUAUAUUAAAAGUUGAGUUUUCUUAUUAGACCCAUAAAGAUUAUUUUGAUACAAUUACCCUCUGGUGACACCUACUGGUAGGUUUUUGGUUUAACACUUUAAAAAAAAAACAUUUUUUCAUCCACCAAAUGCCGACUAAUAAAAUUAGCUCACCCCCUUUCACCUAUCUUACUACCCGUAGACUGGAACCUAUUAUUGGGCAGCUUUGCCGAAGUCCCAUAUUAGACACUGCUUGAGUCAAAUAGGUUGUAUACCCCCUUUAAUCCAGAGGCCCCUGAAAACUUCCGAAUGAUAGACUCAGCAUUUGUCAGCCAGGCCCAAGGUGAUAGUAAAAGGAAAUUACAGAAAAUUAGAGGGAUU